GACGAACGCUGGCGGCGUGCUUAACACAUGCAAGUCGAACGGAAAGGCCCUGAUUUUGUGGGGUGAUCGAGUGGCGAACGGGGGCGUAACACGUGAGUAACCUGCCCUUGACUUUGGGAUAACUUCAGGAAACUGGGGCUACUCCCGUAUAGGAGCUCCUGCUGCAUGGUGGGGGUGGGAAAGUUUCGGCGGUUGGGGAUGGACUCGCGGGUUAUCAGCUUGUUGGUGGGGUAGUGGCUUACCAAGGCUUGGACGGGUAGCCGGCCCGAGAGGGUGACCGGCGACAUUGGGACUGAGGGACGGACCAGACUCCUACGGGAGACAGCAGUGGGGAAUAUUGCACAAUGAGCCGAAGCCUGAUGCAGAAACGCCGCGUGCGGGAUGACGGCCUUCUGGGUGUAAACCGCUUUCGCCUGUGACGAAGCGUGAGUGACGGUAAUGAGUAAAGAAGCACCGGCUAACUACGUG
rnacentral:rRNA from 1 species